CAGCAUUCUUAAACCCCCUUGGCUCUGCUCUAAGUACUUCCAAGGUAUGAGUGAAUGCUACAGAAAUAGCAGGGGAGUCCAAAGGGCUGCGCAGUGCCUGUGGCUCAGCCUUAUUUCAUACCUGCCACAUCU